UUAGCUGAGAGGUGGUGCAUGGCCGUCGUCAGUUCGUACUGUGAAGCAUCCUGUUAAGUCAGGCAACGAGCGAGACCCACGCCCACAGUUGCCAGCGUACUCUCUGGAGUGACGGGUACACUGUGGGGACCGCCGCUGCUAAAGCGGAGGAAGGAAUGGGCAACGGUAGGUCAGUAUGCCCCGAAUAUCCCGGGCUACACGCGAGCUACAAUGGUUGGUACAAUGGGUAUCUACCCCGAAAGGGGACGGGAAUCUCCUAAAACCAAUCUUAGUUCGGAUUGAGGGCUGCAACUCGCCCUCAUGAAGCUGGAAUCCGUAGUAAUCGUGUCUCAAAAUGGCACGGUGAAUAUGUCCCUGCUCCUU
rnacentral:rRNA from 1 species